rfam:Triticum aestivum genome assembly, contig: Triticum_aestivum_CS42_TGACv1_scaffold_404146_5BL
AUACUACUCCCUCCGUCCGGAAUUACUUGUCAUCAAAAUGAAUAAAAAUGGAUGUAUCUAGAACUAAAAUACAUCUAGAUAUAUCCAUUUCAAUGACAAGUAUUUCCGGACGGAGGGAGUACUAA